GAGAUAAACCAGUGCCUACGGUGGACAGCUGUUAAGGUCCACCCUAACGGAGCCCUCCCCAUCAUGAGUUGGCGUUUAAUGCACCUGCCGACUCCCGAAUCCUGACGGGCACCCGCCUCACACACUUAUCUCACCCACCAGCAGACGCGAAAACGGCUUGACGACACUAACACCUAGGAC